CCUACGGGUGGCAGCAGUGAGGAAUAUUGGUCAAUGGACGAGAGUCUGAACCAGCCAAGUAGCGUGAAGGAAGACGGCCCUAUGGGUUGUAAACCUCUUUUGUCGGAGAACAAAACCCGGGACGUGUCCCGGACUGCGUGUAUCCGAAGAAAAAGCAUCGGCUAACUCCGUGCCGGCCGCCGCGGUAAUACGGGGGAUGCGAGCGUUAUCCGGAUUUAUUGGGUUUAAAGGGUGCGUAGGCGGUCCGUUAAGUUAGCGGUAAAAUUGCGGGGCUCAACCCCGUCGAGCCGUUGAGACUGGCAGACUUGAGUUGGCGAGAAGUACGCGGAAUGCGCGGUGUAGUGGUGAAAUGCAUAGAUAUCGCGCAGAACUCCGAUUGCGAAGGCAGCGUACCGGCGCCAGACUGACGCUGAGGCACGAAAGCGUGGGGAUCGAACAGGAUUAGAUACCCUAGUAGUC
rnacentral:rRNA from 1 species